CCAGACUCCUACGGGAGGCAGCAGUGGGGAAUAUUGCGCAAUGGGCGAAAGCCUGACCCAGCGACGCCGCGUGAGGGAAGAAGGUCUUCGGAUUGUAAACCUCUUUCAGCAGGGAAGAAGAAAGUGACGGUACCUGCAGAAGAAGUCACGGCUAAAUACGUGCCAGCAGCCGCGGUAAUACGUAUGGUGCAAGCGUUAUCCGGAAUGACUGGGUGUAAAGGGAGCGUAGACGGUUGUACAAGUCUGAUGUGAAAGCCCACGGCUCAACUGUGGGAGUGCAUUGGAAACUGUAGAACUAGAGUAUCGGAGAGGCAAGUGGAAUUCCUAGUGUAGCGGUGAAAUGCGUAGAUAUUAGGAGGAACACCAGUGGCGAAGGCGGCUUGCUGGACGAAAACUGACGUUGAGGCUCGAAAGCGUGGGGAGCAAACAGGAUUAGAUACCCCAGUACU
rnacentral:rRNA from 1 species